rnacentral:tRNA from 2 species
GCACUAGUAGCUCAGUCUCAGAGCACCGGUCUUGUAAACCGGACGUCGGGGGUUAAACUCCCCCCUACUGCU